AGUUUGAUUAUGGCUCAGAUUGAACGCUGGCGGGAUGCUUUACACAUGCAAGUCGAACGGCAGCACGGACUUCGGUCUGGUGGCGAGUGGCGAACGGGUAGGUAAUGUAUCCAGGUUUGUGCCUAGUAGCGGGGGAUAACUACGCGAAAGCGUAGCUAAUACCGCGCCACUUCGGGGAAAGCGGGGGACCUUCGGGCCUCGCACUAUUAGAGCGGCCGAUAUCGGAUUGGCUAGUUGGUGGGGUAACGGCUCGCAAGGCGACGAUCCGUAGCUGGUUUGAGAGGACGACCAGCCACACUGGGACUGAGACACGGCCCAGACUCCUACGGGGAGGCAGCAGUGGGGAAUUUUGGACAAUGGGGGGAAACCCUGAUCAGCCAUCCCGCGUGUGCGAUGAAGGCCUUCGGGUUGUAAAGCACUUUUGGCAGGAAAGAAACGGCGGGAUAAUACCCCGUGCAACUGACGUGAACACCUGCAGAAUAAGCACCGGCUAACUACGUGCCAGCAGCCGCGGUAAUACGUAAGUGCAAGCGUUAAUCGGAAUUACUGGGCGUAAAGCGUGCACUCGAGCGGUUCGGAAAGAAAAGAUGUGAAAUCCCAGAGCUUAACUUUGGAACUGCAUUUUUAACUACCGAGCUAGAGUGUGUCAGAGGGGAGGUGGAAUUCCGCGUGUAGCAGUGAAAUGCGUAGAUAUGCGGAGGAACACCGAUGGCGAAGGCAGCCUCCUGGGAUAACACUGACGCUCAUGCACGAAAGCGUGGGAGCAAACAGGAUUAGAUACCCUGGUAGUCCACGCCCUAAACGAUGUCAACUAGCUGUUGGGGCCUUCGGGCCUUGGUAGCGCAGCUAACGCGUGAAGUUGGCCGCCUGGGAGUACGGUCGCAAGAUUAAAACUCAAAGGAAUUGACGGGGACCCGCACAAGCGGUGGAUGAUGUGGAUUAAUUCGAUGCAACGCGAAAAACCUUACCUACCCUUGACAUGUCUGGAAUCCCGAAGAGAUUUGGGAAUGCUCGCAAGAGAACGGAACACAGGUGCUGCAUGGCUGUCGUCAGCUCGUGUCGUGAGAUGUUGGGUUAAGUCCCGCAACGAGCGCAACCCUUGGUCGGUAGUUACGAAGAGGGCACUCUAAUGAGACUGCCGGUGACAAACCGGAGGAAGGUGGGGAUGACGUCAAGUCCUCAUGGCCCUUAUGGGUAGGGCUUCACACGUCAUACAAUGGUCGGGACAGAGUUAGCCAACCCGCGAAGGGGAGCCAAUCCCAGAAACCCGAUCGUAGUCCGGAUCGCAGUCUGCAACUCGACUGCGUGAAGUCGGAAUCGCUAGUAAUCGCGGAUCAGCAUGUCGCGGUGAAUACGUUCCCGGGUCUUGUACACACCGCCCGUCACCAUGGGAGUGGGUUUUACCAGAAGUAGUUAGCUAACCGUAAGGAGGGCAGUCCCUCCUGUCGGAAUUCACCGACUGGAGGUGAAGUCGUAACAAAGCAACCUGGCAACCACACCACAUUACCGGGUAUUAUG
rnacentral:rRNA from 1 species